UAUGUUGUACAGAGUCGGUUAGUGCGCGAUCGUUGUGGGAAUUUUUAUUUAUUGGUGCUCGCUACCAACAAUAACAACAACAACACGUUGUCGAAGUGAAGUGCAUACGAAUUUUUUCGAUUUACGAAGUUUUAAAGUUGAAAUAGCAAAAGUGCAGCGCAGUGAAUUUGGCUUUCUUACGCGUGGAAGUAUCAAAAAAGAAAAGAAUUGGCGCAUUAAACAAUUAAAGCGCAAAAAAAAUUACAAUUGCCCGCAUUUUUGUUUACAUUUGCAUGCGGAGCCAGGAAUAAAAAUAAUAAUUUUCCGCUGUGAAAGGUGAAUAAUACAAAGCACAUACGAAGUGAUGAAAAGCAACAAACGAAAUUAAAGUGAAGUACCUACAUAUUUAACGAUACCAAAAAGUGACGAUGCAAAAGCAAAAGAAUAAGCAAAGGCAGUAAGUGAAGAGAAGUGAAAGAAAGUAACACGAAACUAGUGUGUUUGGGUAGCAAAAACGAGGAAGAAGAAGCAGAAGACAAGCAAAGCAAAUGUCGAAAAUGUAGAAGUGUGGAGGCGCAGUGCAAAUGCAAUUGGAGUAAAUACACACACAAGCAUACAUAUACAUAUGCAUGAGUGUUAUUCAAGCGAAUGAGUACAGUGAUGCGCUUUGCAAUUGUUACAAUUUAAUUUAAUUGGAGUGCUCAACAAAUGAGGUGAAAAACAAUAACAAAACAACUAAAAGAAAAGAAUAAUAACAAAAGCGAAGCAAAUACGUAUGUGAAGUGUGUGCUAAGAAUACGUAAAAAUUGCUAUAAAUCAAGUGGUAUUAAUGUGAGCGGAAAGUGUAAUUGAAACAAAGUGAAAAAAUUUCAACAAAUUAAAAAAAAUUUAAAUAAAGUGAAAAAAUUUUAAACAAAGUUGAAAAAAGUUUAAACAAAGUGCAAAAAUAAAUUGGAAAGGCUAUAAUAAUUAACUGAAUAAAUAAGUGGAAUAAUAUUAGCAAAUUGGCAGCUGCUAGCUUGUGUUAGUGCUAAUGAAAACAUGCAAAUUAAUAUUCAAACAUAAAAGCAAUUCUCAACGUGUUUAAUGCGAAAGCUCUCCAAUUGUCUGGUUGAACGCGCAAUUCGUCUUAAUUGCAACAAAAGCCAAAAACAAAGAAUUCUCCGUAAAGUGCUUACAGAAACGUGUUAUUUAAGCGGUGUGAAUAUAUAAAUACACACACAUACACAUAUAUGUAUAUGGUGUAUACUGGUGCUUAAGGUUAAACCAACAGUUACUCGCGAUCGAUUGCAUUUUUGUGGAUUUAAGCAAAAUUUUAAAUUCGUUGGAAAAUAAAUUUGUUAAGUGGUGGCUUCUAUAAGCAAAAUUUGUGCAGAUUAUAUACACACAUAUACACAUAUGCAUACAUGUGAAUGUACAGCGAGACAACAGGUUAUUUGCUUGUGUGUAAUUUACUAAAGAACAAAUCGAUCUCAGAUUUCAACCCCAAUCAACAAUAGCGACAUAAGGUA